rnacentral:misc_RNA from 1 species
UACGUAGGUGGCAAGCGUUGUCCGGAUUUACUGGGUGUAAAGGGCGUGUAGACGGGAUGGCAAGUCAGAUGUGAAAUUUAUGGGCUCAACCCAUAACCUGCAUUUGAAACUGUUGUUCUUGAGUGAUGGAGAGGUAAGCGGAAUUCCUAGUGUAGCGGUGAAAUGCGUAGAUAUUAGGAGGAACACCGGUGGCGAAGGCGGCUUGCUGGACAUUUACUGACGUUGAGGCGCGAAAGGGUGGGGAGCAAACAGG